rnacentral:misc_RNA from 1 species
GCACCCAUCUGAUGGGCUUCUUCCUCGUCUGGUUCGCAUUAAACUAGCAGCUGCUCAUGGAAGCUUCAGUGCCACCAUGAACGAGGGCGCCGGCUAACAAAUGGAGAACCAUCAGCGCAUCUCCGGCUAGACAACAGCUCCUCAUUGGCGAUGGCAUUGCAGGAAGGUGAGCUGGUGCGUCCAAGCUCCUUACACGAUCUGAUCGUGCAACACCCGCCAUCUGCAAACGUCAUUCAGUCAAGCAAAACGACGUUGGUCUAGGCAUCCUCAACAACUCGAGGUUAACAUCACCGGCCCCGCGCGCGGGGAACACACAGCGGCAGCCAGCAAUGGUCCUCUAGCUCUGAUAUACCUG